AACCCCCAGUUAGACUGGGGGUUCAGUAAAGCUUUUAGCUUUGAGUCUUUAAUAAAAAAGCUCCUUUUGAUAAGAUAUAAUUGCGGUCCGCCAACUGCAAAAAAUUAUCAAAA
rnacentral:sRNA from 1 species